UACGUAGGGCGCGAAGCGUUGUCCGGAAUUAUUGGGCGUAAAGAGCUCGUAGGCGGUUUGUCGCGUCUGCUGUGAAAACUCGAGGCUCAACCUCGGGCUUGCAGUGGGUACGGGCAGACUAGAGUGCGGUAGGGGUGACUGGAAUUCCUGGGUGAUAGCGGUGGAAUGCGCAGAUAUCAGGAGGGAACACCGAGUGGCGAAAGGCAGGUCAC
rnacentral:rRNA from 1 species